CAUAGACAGUAAUAACAAAAUUAGUGUUGGAUGGCAUGUGAGUUUGGAUUUGUACGGUGACAAUCGAACCCAUUCAUAUGUAUCAUGGACGAGAGACAAUUUUCAUAAGACGGGAUGCUACAAUUUACGAUGUCCAGGUUUUGUUCAGACUAAUCCUGCAUCUUAUAUUGGUGGACCUUUUCUAAAUACAUCGUUGUACGGAGGACCAACUUAUCGUUUUGUUGUUUCUAUUAGUCAG
rnacentral:sRNA from 1 species